CACCCAUCCCGCGUACAGGAUGACGGCCCUAUGGGUUGUAAACUGCUUUUGUAUGGGAAUAAACCCUUAUACGUGUAGAAGGCUGAAGGUACCAUAAGAAUAAGCACCGGCUAACUCCGUGCCAGCAGCCGCGGUAAUACGGAGGGUGCAAGCGUUAUCCGGAUUUAUUGGGUUUAAAGGGUCCGUAGGCGGGCCGAUAAGUCAGUGGUGAAAGCCCAUAGCUCAACUAUGGAACUGCCAUUGAUACUGUCGGUCUUGAGUACAAUUGAAGUUGGCGGAAUGUGUAGUGUAGCGGUGAAAUGCUUAGAUAUUACACAGAACACCGAUUGCGAAGGCAGCUGACUAAUUUGUAACUGACGCUGAGGGACGAAAGUGUGGGGAUCAAACAGGAUUAGAUACCGUGGUAGUCCACACCGUAAACGAUGAUCACUAGAUUUUGGCCUUAUGGUCAGAGUCCAAGCGAAAGUGUUAAGUGAUCCACCUGGGGAGUACGUCCGC
rnacentral:rRNA from 1 species